rnacentral:lncRNA from 1 species
UAAUAUUGGCCUCACUAUCUAUUCUUUACUUUUCUUGUUGUUAUCUUGUGUAGUGGACUGUUUUUGGGUCCUUUUUGAAUCCAAAAAUUUAUGUUCUUGUUGUCAUCUUGUUCUUCACGUUUUGUGGCUGUUUUGGGUGUCAAAUACACCAUUGUUAUCUCGUAUUGUUGUUGUUGUAGUGAAUCCGAGAGUGGUAUCCAAAAAGAUCCUCGGAUCCUUAAGAUUUGCAGACUGUUUUGGAGUUGUUUCGUGUUUCCCUUGUCUUUC